rnacentral:rRNA from 1 species
UACGAAGGGGCUAGCGUUGCUCGGAAUUACUGGGCGUAAAGCGCACGUAGGCGGCUUCUAAGUCGGGGGUGAAAUCCUGGAGCUCAACUCCAGAACUGCCUUCGAUACUGGAGAGCUUGAGUCCGGGAGAGGUGAGUGGAACUGCGAGUGUAGAGGUGAAAUUCGUAGAUAUUCGCAAGAACACCAGUGGCGAAGGCGGCUCACUG